GGGUUGUGAGGUUAAGCGACUAAGCGUACACGGUGGAUGCCCUGGCAGUCAGAGGCGAUGAAGGACGUGCUAAUCUGCGAUAAGCGUCGGUAAGGUGAUAUGAACCGUUAUAACCGGCGAUUUCCGAAUGGGGAAACCCAGUGUGAUUCGUCACACUAUCAUUAACUGAAUCCAUAGGUUAAUGAGGCGAACCGGGGGAACUGAAACAUCUAAGUACCCCGAGGAAAAGAAAUCAACCGAGAUUCCCCCAGUAGCGGCGAGCGAACGGGGAGCAGCCCAGAGCCUGAAUCAGUGUGUGUGUUAGUGGAAGCGUCUGGAAAGGCGCGCGAUACAGGGUGACAGCCCCGUACACAAAAAUGCACAUGCUGUGAGCUCGAUGAGUAGGGCGGGACACGUGGUAUCCUGUCUGAAUAUGGGGGGACCAUCCUCCAAGGCUAAAUACUCCUGACUGACCGAUAGUGAACCAGUACCGUGAGGGAAAGGCGAAAAGAACCCCGGCGAGGGGAGUGAAAAAGAACCUGAAACCGUGUACGUACAAGCAGUGGGAGCCUCUUUAUGGGGUGACUGCGUACCUUUUGUAUAAUGGGUCAGCGACUUAUAUUCUGUAGCAAGGUUAACC
rnacentral:rRNA from 1 species